rnacentral:rRNA from 1 species
UACGUAGGGGGCAAGCGUUGUCCGGAAUCAUUGGGCGUAAAGCGCGUGUAGGCGGUUCGGUAAGUCCGCUGUGAAAGUCGGGGGCUUAACCCUCGGAUGCCGGUGGAUACUGUCGGGCUUGAGUACGGAAGAGGCGAGUGGAAUUCCUGGUGUAGCGGUGAAAUGCGCAGAUAUCAGGAGGGACACCAAUUGCGAAGGCAGCUCGCUGGGACGUUACUGACGCUGAGACGCGAAAGCGUGGGGAGCAAACAGG